rnacentral:rRNA from 1 species
CCUACGGGCGGCUGCAGUGGGGAAUAUUGGACAAUGGGCGAAAGCCUGAUCCAGCCAUGCCGCGUGUGUGAAGAAGGCCUUCGGGUUGUAAAGCACUUUCAGUGGGGAAGAAAGCCUUGGGGCUAAUACCCUCGAGGAAGGACAUCACCCACAGAAGAAGCACCGGCUAACUCCGUGCCAGCAGCCGCGGUAAUACGGAGGGUGCGAGCGUUAAUCGGAAUUACUGGGCGUAAAGCGCGCGUAGGCGGUCUGAUAAGCCGGUUGUGAAAGCCCCGGGCUCAACCUGGGAACGGCAUCCGGAACUGUCAGGCUAGAGUGCAGGAGAGGAAGGUAGAAGUCCCGGUGUAGCGGUGUAAUGCGUAGAGAUCGGGAGGAAUACCAGUGGCGAAGGCGGCCUUCUGGACUGACACUGACGCUGAGGUGCGAAAGCGUGGGUAGCAAACAGGAUUAGAUACCCCAGUAGUC